rnacentral:rRNA from 1 species
AUACGGAGGGGGCUAGCGUUGUUCGGAAUUACUGGGCGUAAAGCGCACGUAGGCGGAUUGGAAAGUUGGGGGUGAAAUCCCAGGGCUCAACCCUGGAACUGCCUCCAAAACUAACAGUCUAGAGUUCGAGAGAGGUGAGUGGAAUUCCAAGUGUAGAGGUGAAAUUCGUAGAUAUUUGGAGGAACACCAGUGGCGAAGGCGGCUCACUGGCUCGAUACUGACGCUGAGGUGCGAAAGCGUGGGGAGCAAACAGGAUUAGAAACCCUAGUAGUCC